rnacentral:rRNA from 1 species
UACGUAGGGUGCAAGCGUUAAUCGGAAUUACUGGGCGUAAAGCGUGCGCAGGCGGUGAUGUAAGACAGGUGUGAAAUCCCCGGGCUUAACCUGGGAACUGCAUUUGUGACUGCAUCGCUGGAGUGCGGGCAGAGGGGGAUGGAAUUCCGCGUGUAGCAGUGAAAUGCGUAGAUAUGCGGAGGAACACCGAUGGCGAAGGCAAUCCCCUGGGCCUGCACUGACGCUCAUGCACGAAAGCGUGGGAGCAAACAGG